ACUCAAAGGAAUUGACGGGGGCCCGCACAAGCAGCGGAGCGUGUGGUUUAAUUCGAUGCAACGCGAAGAACCUUACCUAGACUUGACAUGGCAUUGUAAGCCCUGGAAACCGGGCCCCUCUUCGGAGCAGUGUCACAGAUGUUGCAUGGCUGUCGUCAGCUCGUGUCGUGAGAUGUUGGGUUAAGUCCCGCAACGAGCGCAACCCCCGUGGUCUGUUGCAUUCUCAGGCCAGACUGCCCCCAAAAGGGGAGGAAGGUGGGGAUGACGUCAAGUCCGCAUGGCUCUUACGUCUAGGGCUACACACACGCUACAAUGGCCGGUACAAUGCGCUGCCACAGGGCGACCUGGAGCUAAUCGCCAAAACCGGUCUCAGUUCGGAUAGCAGGCUGCAACUCGCCUGCUUGAAGUCGGAGUUGCUAGUAACCGCGUGUCAGCACAGCGCGGUGAAUAUGUUCCCGGGCCUUGUACACACCGCCCGU
rnacentral:rRNA from 1 species